AAUGAACGCUAGCAGGGGGCCUAACACAUGCAAGUCGAACGGCACUUCGGUGCAGUGGCAGACGGGUGCGUAACACGUACUUACUUGCCCUAGAGUAGGGAACAACAUCUGAAAGGGUGCUAAUUCCUUAUAAUCCCUACGGGGGAAAGAUUUAUCGCUCUAGGAGAGGGGUGCGGCCUACUAGUUUGUUGGUGAGGUAAUGGCUCACCAAGACUAUGAUGGGUAGCUGAUCUGAGAGGAUGAUCAGCCACAAUGGAACUGAGACACGGUCCAUACCCCUACGGGGGGCAGCAGUGGGGAAUAUUGCACAAUGGACGAAAGUCUGAUGCAGCCACCCUGCGUGGAGGAUGAAGCAUUACGGUGUGUAAACUCCUUUUCUGGAGGAAGACGACUGACGGUACUCCAGGAAUAAGCGACGGCUAACUACG
rnacentral:rRNA from 1 species